UACAGGGGGUGCAAACGUUGCUCGGAAUUAUUGGGCGUAAAGCGCACGUAGGCGGUUCGUUAUGUCGGAUGUGAAAGCCCUUGGCUCAACUGAGGAAGUGCAUCCGAAACUGGCGAGCUAGAGUAUGUAAGAGGGUCGCGGAAUUCCCGGUGUAGAGGUGAAAUUCGUAGAUAUCGGGAGGAACACCGGUGGCGAAGGCGGUUCUCUGGGCAUUACCUGACGCUGAGGAGCGAAAGUGUGGGGAGCGAACAGG
rnacentral:rRNA from 1 species